UCUGUAGACCCAGGCAGCUUCCGGCCGUCAGAUUAGUCGUCAGUGCGCAGACACCACCCUUCGUGGACACGCCCUCUAGGCGUAAGGUUCCAUGCGAGCGGUAAGAGUGCGGCGGGACUUGGAAAUCGAAUCUGUGCUCUGUGAGAGAUCCUAGGAAAGGAAACUGGGAGCCCGGGAGAACUAAAAUUCCCAAUUAAAAGUGAAUUUAAGAAUAAAGAGAGACACCAGGGAGGUUUGUGCAGAAAGAGAAGGCCAUGUGAGGGCACAGAGAGAAGGCAGCCAUCUACAAGCCAAUGAGAGAAUCCUCAGGAAGACCUCACUCUGCUGGUACCUUGAUUUUGGACUCCCAAUCCUCAACUGUGAGGAAUCAGGUCCCCACAAGGAAAGACCCUGCAACUGUAUAAAAAAAGAAUCUAAAAAGAUCAUGACUCCUUCAGUCCUUUCCCAAAGAGACCUAUGGAAAUUUCCUCAGGUGGUUAAGCUUGCAUUGCAGUCUCAUGGCUCUCCCAGCCUCCUCCAGCCCUCUCCCCAUUUCUUACUGUUGCUGCCCCAUGUCUAACUUGCCAGCAACGGAGACCAAAGUUGAGCCCCGGAAUCAGCACCAUUCCUCAUAGAGACCAGCUAGUCACUGGGUGGAAGAGGGACCAAGCAAAACCCCAGAAGAGUUGAUCUCAAAGCUUAUUUUAUGAAGAAAAUUGACCUGAGUGACACAAAGGGUUGGACUGUAGUAGAUGUCACGUUUUGCUGCCUAGAUCUCCAUCCAGGGAUGAACUCUUAUUUCCUCAGCUUCUUUGUCUCCUCAGCUUCUGGGAGGGUUGGCAGCUGAUAUUCUCACCUGAGUCCCUUUCUAGGACUUGCCCUUGCCUGAAGAGAGCUGUGCUGCCCAACAUGAUGCCUCCUCCAAGGUACAAUCCACACCCAGUGACUAAUAAACAGGGGUUACAAAGGCAUGCCUGCUUGCCCCAGUUUGGGACAACUUUACCAGGCCAACCCAGCCUCAAGGCUCUCCACAGGAACAGGGACCCUGAAAGCUGUGUCUAUGAAGUUAUUACAAGAUAUUGGCUACUGUGGUGCAUGGAGCUUCUAGGCCAGGGUGAUUCUCACACCUGCCUGAUGUGGAUCUUGUUGCUUCACACCUGAAACAUCAUUUGAGAAGCCCGGGAAGUGGUUUCCCAUGGAUGAACUGGAAGAAUUCAGAAAUUGAAUGAUAUAAAUAACAAAGUUAAAUUAAUAGACAUGUAUUGAACUUAGUUUUUAGAGUAUGUAUAAUUUUCCCAAUUUUCUGUGGAAUUAUUGCAAAAUUUGAUCACAAACUAUAAGGCUACAAUUUAAAAAUAUAACAAAUUCCUAACUGUAAAAAUUUUCUAGGUUAAAUUCUUUGAUCACAAAGCAGGCAAGAAAUGAAUGGUGGAACAAACUAAAAUACUAGCUCCAUGAAUGAAAAGACCUACAUGGAUAUGAGAGUAAUUAAGAAGGAGUUAGCAGCGAUGGGACUUUGUGAUUGACUGGAUAUAGACAAUGAGGAAUAUAGUGAAGGAAAGAUGAUUUCCUGAUUUCUGGCAUGGGCAGCUGAGUAGAUGGUUAUGCUAUAAACUAAGAAAAGAGAGAAGGAUAGGAAGAGAUGGGCCUGGAAGAGUAUGGAGUUUGAGAUGAGAAGAGAAAAUGGAAACUCUGAGGAGCACAGAAAAUUAAGGCCCAAGUGAAGAAAGAUGAGCUUGCAGGGAAGACUGGGUGAUGACAAGCGGUGUAGGAGAGAAUCCGGGUACUCUGUUUUGCUGAAAUGAGAAAGACGGACAUACAGAUGCAUAUAAAGGCAUAUAGAGGCAGAUAUAUUUAUAUUUGAGGAAGUCUGGACAUUGAGUAAGUUAGUGCUGAUAACUUCUAGUUUCUUAGUUAAGAAAGAGAUGAGGUUAUCUAUACGGAGUAAGGAGGAACGUGGUGGUGCCGUUGCUACUACGGUGUAAUACGUCACUACUAUUACUAUUAAUUAUGGUGUAAUACCUAAAACGUAGUGGCUUGAAAUAACAAUAAUUAUCUUUUAUCUCUCACAGUUUCUCUGGGUCAGAAAUUUGAGGAUAAGGUGGUGAAUGAUUCUGGCUCAAGGUCUCCCAUAUUGUUGUGAUCAGUGGCUGGAGCCAGAACAGCAGAGGGCUUAGAGAAUCUAGGGAUUGGUCAGAUGUCGCUUUCGUUUUAUCUGGCUUUGAGAC
rnacentral:lncRNA from 10 species